rnacentral:hammerhead_ribozyme from 1 species
AUCCAGCUGACGGGUCCCAAAUAGGACGAAACGCUUUUCAAACUGGAU